rnacentral:snoRNA from 1 species
AACUCAAUGAUGAGUUCACUCAAAAGCAUUCCUUAGAAAGCUGAACAAAAUGAGUGAGAACUCACAAAAAAAAUAAAUAAAUAGAAAU